AUCGCUUCUCGGCCUUUUGGCUAAGAUCAAGUGCAAAAUGUUAUAGAUCAUGGAUCCAUAGAUUAUGGAUUUAUAUAUAAAACAUAAUGCUGUAAAUUUUUUUAGGAAAAAAAGUACAAGAAAAUCUAUGGGAUCUAGGGUAGGCAGAGUUCUUGGACUUUACUCCAA
rnacentral:snRNA from 1 species